ensembl:miRNA MIR1303 microRNA 1303
GGCUGGGCAACAUAGCGAGACCUCAACUCUACAAUUUUUUUUUUUUUAAAUUUUAGAGACGGGGUCUUGCUCUGUUGCCAGGCUUU